CUGGGGAUGUUUGCCUUUGUGUUCUGACUCUGACACUUUGUCAUGUGGACUCUUGGGCAAGAAACAGAGUUGUCCAUCCAUGGUCAGCUGGGGACUAUAGCCUCUGCCUCUGGCGGGGUGCCGCUGGACACCAUUAGGUGGGUCCCAAUCAUUUGCCCUCUAAGUUUGACUGGCAACAGCUGUGAGAAAGUGUUGCCUGGGAGAAUGGCUCCCUGCCCCUGCUCAUACUGUUUGAAAAACUCUGCCCACAGAAACGCAAGUUCAUUUCCUUCCUGCUGGCUACUGAUCUCUGUCUCCAGAAGGGAUUAAUCUCCCCUUUGGAAGGGCUCAGGGGAGGGCUGCUGGGCAGGGGUGUGCCCAGGUGUCAGUCCUGCCCUGGGGUGCGAGGCUGUCCCUGCUGCAACCUGGUUGGAGCCCUGAGAAGAGGAAGAGGGAGACCUGGGGCCAGGCGUCUCACUUAGGUGCUUUCUGGGCAGAGAGGCCAUCAGUGCUCCGAAUUCCACCGCAGACUUGGCUGGACGAGGGGCUGUGAAGGGACAGCUUCCCAAGAACCAAGCACAGGAGUUGAUGAUAAAGAGCAGGCUUUCUCUCCAACACCUAUAACAAAUCACUUGCGUAUUGCACUGGUCUUGUCUGGCUCAUCUUCCUGCGUCAGAGUAAAAGACAAGCCAAGUGAGGUGUGGCAGGCACCGGGACCACAUGGCAUCCAAGCCCAACGAGCCAGUCGCCAUCCUCAGCCUGCGCAGACUGAGCCUCUCGGGCCCAGAACCACAGCAGCAGAAAGAGCCCAAGACCUUCACAGUGGAGGACGCGGUGGAGACCAUCGGGUUCGGCCUCUUCCACAUCGCCCUGUUCCUGAUCAUGGGCAGCACGGGGGUGGUCGAGGCCAUGGAGAUCAUGCUAAUCGCUGUGGUGUCCCCUGUCAUCCGCUGUGAGUGGCACCUGGAGAACUGGCAGGUGGCAUUCGUGACCACGGUGAGUACCUGUGUCCUGUGCCGUGCAGGAGCAGCUGAAGGGCUCAGCUCCCCUUUCUGUACCCUCGGGAUGGCCACUGAGAAACAAAUCCCUAACCUUGCAGGCUGGCAGGGCUGGCCAUGUAAUUAGAAGCCACUCACUUGGGCCAUCGUGAGCUAACCAG
rnacentral:lncRNA from 1 species